rnacentral:rRNA from 1 species
AGGGUUUGAUCAUGGCUCAGGAUGAACGCUAGCGGCAGGCCUAACACAUGCAAGUCGAACGGUAACAUGAGAGCUUGCUCUUGAUGACGAGUGGCGCACGGGUGAGUAACGCGUAUGCAAUCUACCUAUAACUGAGGGAUAGCCCAGAGAAAUUUGGGUUAAUACCUCAUAAUAAUAUUUUUUGGCAUCAUUAAAUAUUUAAAACUUCGGUGGUUAUAGAUGAGCAUGCGUUCUAUUAGUUUGUUGGUGAGGUAAAAGCUCACCAAGACUACGAUAGAUAGGGGGCCUGAAAGGGUGAUCCCCCACACUGGUACUGAGACACGGACCAGACCCCUACGGGAGGCAGCAGUGAGGAAUAUUGCACAAUGGAGGAAACUCUGAUGCAGCCAUGCCGCGUGCAGGAUGACGGCCCUAUGGGUUGUAAACUGCUUUUUUACAAGAAGAAACCUUGGUACGUGUACCAACUUGACGGUAUUGUAAGAAUAAGCACCGGCUAACUCCGUGCCAGCAGCCGCGGUAAUACGGAGGGUGCAAGCGUUAUCCGGAUUUAUUAGGUUUAAAGGGUUCGCAGGCGGAAUUUUAAGUCAGUGGUGAAAGCCUACAGCUCAACUGUAGAACUGCCAUUGAAACUGAUAUUCUUGAGUAUAGAUGAAGUGGG